GAUUAACGCUAGCGGCAGGCCUAAUACAUGCAAGUCGAACGGGAUUCAAAGUAGCAAUAUUUUGAUGAGAGUGGCGCACGGGUGAGUAACACGUAUGCAAUUUACCUUUAACUGGGGGAUAGCCCUCCGAAAGGAGGAUUAAUACCGCAUAAUAUAUUGAAAUGGCAUCAUUUUAAUAUUAAACCUACGGGGUUAAAGAUGAGCAUGCAUCCGAUUAGCUAGUUGGUGUGGUAACGGCUCACCAAGGCAACGAUCGGUAGGGGUCUGAGAGGAUGAUCCCCCACACUGGUACUGAGACACGGACCAGACUCCUACGGGAGGCAGCAGUAAGGAAUAUUGGACAAUGGAGGCAACUCUGAUCCAGCCAUGCCGCGUGAAGGAUUAAGGCCUAUGGGUUGUAAACUUCUUUUAGACGGGACAAAAACCCCCUUUUACGUGGUUAAAGGGUUGAUGGUACUGUCAGAAUAAGCAUCGGCUAACUUCGUGCCAGC
rnacentral:rRNA from 1 species